ACACCUCAACUCUCAUGGUCUGCCAUGAUGAGCUUGGACUUUGGGGGUCUUGCCGGCUUAACCGUCAGCUCCUCUCAAAUGAAUCAGCUUGCCAGUGUUUGGUGGCGUCGCAGGUGUGAUAACUAUCUACGCUUGUGGACUUCCACCAGGUUACCUUCAGUAAUGGGGGUUCGCUGGAGCUCACAGAUGUCUCUCCUCAGUGAGGACAGCUUUUUUAU
rnacentral:misc_RNA from 1 species